CUCAGCCUACGGGGGGCAGCAGUGGGGAAUAUUGGACAAUGGGGGGAACCCUGAUCCAGCGACGCCGCGUGAGUGAAGAAGUAUUUCGGUAUGUAAAGCUCUAUCAGCAGGGAAGAAAGAAAUGACGGUACCUGACUAAGAAGCCCCGGCUAACUACGUGCCAGCAGCCGCGGUAAUACGUAGGGGGCAAGCGUUAUCCGGAUUUACUGGGUGUAAAGGGAGCGUAGACGGCAAUGCAAGUCUGGAGUGAAAGGCGGGGGUCCAACCCCCGGACUGCUCUGGAAACUGUAUAGCUGGAGUGCAGG
rnacentral:rRNA from 1 species